rnacentral:lncRNA from 1 species
UGGUUGGUUCUGAAAUCACUCUUAUUGGGAGUUUGUUUGUUUUGUUUCUUUUUUGUUUUCGACGACUCAUUGUCACAUGUGGAACAAAAUCUGAUCAACUGUUCAAAGAACCAUAGACUACCGGAAGGGGCUCAUGUAGUUCAGUCUUUUAACUUCGAUGUUUUGUAACCUGUUGUUUGUAUUAUUUAUCAUUUUCUUUUCUCUUCUUAUUGCUAAUGCGUAGUCAAUUACUUAUUUAUAAGUUUGAAUACCCUUUGGUAUCUUUAGUUCUCUUUCAACCAGUUUGUAGUAAGAUAUGCGAUAGUUAUGAAACCAAAAUAAAAAAUCUCUCAGGUUAAGGUAUACCAUUGAUGGUUCGGCUAUACAUGAUUAUACUUUAAAUGCCCAUAUAUUAUAUAUUUUUUCUACCAGAAUAUAUACUAAGUUCUCCAAAUGUUUUGUUGCGAACGUACAUUAUAUACGUUUUCCAAAAGUCAUAUAUCAAUGU